rnacentral:rRNA from 1 species
UGGGGGAUAUUGCACAAUGGGGGGAACCCGUCGAUGCAGCGACGCCGCGUGUAGGAAGACGGUCCUCUGGAUUGUAAACUACUGUCUUCAGGGACGAUAAUGACGGUACCUGAGGAGGAAGCUCCGGCUAACUACGUGCCAGCAGCCGCGGUAAUACGUAGGGAGCGAGCGUUGUCCGGAAUUACUGGGUGUAAAGGGAGCGUAGGCGGGUCAGCAAGUCCGUUGUUAAAUCUAUCGGCUCAACCGGUAGCUGCGGCGGAAACUGUUGGUCUUGAGUGAAGUAGAGGCAGGCGGAAUUCCUAGUGUAGCGGUGAAAUGCGUAGAUAUUAGGAGGAACACCAGUGGCGAAGGCGGCCUGCUGGGCUUUACUGACGCUGAGGCUCGAAAGUGU